rnacentral:rRNA from 1 species
UAGGGAAUCUUCCGCAAUGGACGAAAGUCUGACGGAGCGACGCCGCGUGAGCGAAGAAGGUCUUCGGAUCGUAAAGCUCUGUUGUUAGGGAAGAAGAAGUGCCGUUCGAACAGGGCGGCACGGUGACGGUACCUGACGAGGAAGCCACGGCUAACUACGUGCCAGCAGCCGCGGUAAUACGUAGGUGGCAAGCGUUGUCCGGAAUUAUUGGGCGUAAAGCGCGCGCAGGCGGUUCCUUAAGUCUGAUGUGAAAUCUCGCGGCUCAACCGCGAGCGGCCAUUGGAAACUGGGGAACUUGAGUGCAGGAGAGGGGAGCGGAAUUCCACGUGUAGCGGUGAAAUGCGUAGAGAUGUGGAGGAACACCAGUGGCGAAGGCGGCUCUCUGGUCUGUAACUGACGCUGAGGCGCGAAAGCGUGGGGAGCAAACAGG